GUUGUUGGGUAGGGGAGCGUUCUGUAAGCCGUUGAAGGUGGCCUGUGAGGGCUGCUGGAGGUAUCAGAAGUGCGAAUGCUGACAUAAGUAACGAUAAUGCGGGUGAAAAACCCGCACGCCGGAAGACCAAGGGUUCCUGUCCAACGUUAAUCGGGGCAGGGUGAGUCGACCCCUAAGGCGAGGCUGAAAAGCGUAGUCGAUGGGAAACAGGUUAAUAUUCCUGUACUUGGUGUUACUGCGAGGGGGGGACGGAGAAGGCUAUGUCAUCCGGGCGACGGUUGUCCCGGUUUAAGCGUGCAGGUGGGUGGACCAGGCAAAUCCGGUCUGCUGU
rnacentral:rRNA from 1 species